CCUACGGGCGGCAGCAGUGGGGAAUAUUGCGCAAUGGGCGAAAGCCUGACGCGGCGACGCCGCGUGAGGGAUGAAGGUCUUCGGAUCGUAAACCUCUGUCAGCAGGGAAGAACGGUCACUGUGCUAAUCAGCAGUGAAUUGACGGUACCUGCAAAGGAAGCACCGGCUAACUCCGUGCCAGCAGCCGCGGUAAUACGGAGGGUGCGAGCGUUAAUCGGAAUUACUGGGCGUAAAGCGCUCGUAGGCGGUAUGUCAAGUCAAGGGUGAAAUCCCCGCGCUCAACGUGGGAACUGCCUUUGAAACUGGCAAACUGGAGUGUGUGAGAGGAUAGUGGAAUUCCAGGUGUAGGAGUGAAAUGCGUAGAUAUCUGGAGGAACAUCAGUGGCGAAGGCGACUAUCUGGCACAUAACUGACGCUGAGGAGCGAAAGCGUGGGUAGCAAACAGGAUUAGAUACCCCAGUAGUC
rnacentral:rRNA from 1 species